rnacentral:lncRNA from 1 species
AGCAAGCUCCAGUCAAGCUCCUGCUGUUCACAAAUGUUUGCUUCUUUUGAGGCCUAACAAUAAAAUACAAAUUUUUGUCUGGGGUACACACACAGACUUAUGAAUGGCAUUACAACUGGCCGAGCUGGAGGAAGUGAUUAAAGACUUCUAAAAUGUUGUCUCACAAACACAUUUAAUGCUGUUCUAAAAAGUUUAUUUUUAUUACAAUAGAGAAAAAAUAGAAUGCUUUUGAAAUAUUGUAUGAAAAUUGUGUUUAAUCCAGAUUGUGCAAAUGGAUUAGGUGGGAAUCAGCUGGGGGCUGUGCUUGUUUGCUUUCCCUGUCCAAGUUUAGUCAUAUGAAGAAAAUCAUUGUAGACAAUUUGUUCAUCCUUCACUUGGUGGUAAUCCCCAGCUGCUGGCAGUACCACAGCUCCAUACUGUGCCCUGGAAAGCUGGAGUUUAUCCCUGUAUCCCUCUGUUUCACCAGGAAGAUGUUUGGAAGCUGUGACACCCAUCCAGCUUCCUCUCUGCCCCACUUGCUGCCAAUCCCAAGUGCAAAUAAACUCUAGCUAUGUCUGGAAGAAGUUGAAACUUCUGGGAGCUGUUCAGGAGCUGUGGCUCUCUCUGGGAGACUGGGGAUGUGGAUUUCCCAAAAUCUGCUACUGCAGAUGUUGGAGAAAGCUACCCAGGCUCAUCCUGCUUAGGGGGUAGCAGGUUUAGAGCAUCAGCUCAUGAGGCUGAGCCAGGUAAAUCUUGGAGUGGGCAUGAGGAGAGGUUUGAGUGUACUUGGGAACACCCUUGUUGGAAAAAGUCAGCACAGGUUCAUCACUAACCCUUUCUUCCUUUCCUCCAGGGAGAGCCAGGCCCUCCUGGUUUGCCAGGCCCACCAGGGCCAAAAGGUGCACCAGGGAAGCCUGGAGCUGCAGGUGAAGCUGGAUUGCCUGGUCUGCCUGGAGUGGAUGUGAGUAUUGUGGCAUCUUCUCUUAGGUUUUUUAAGCCUUUCAGCUAGGCUGAAGUGUUUUCCUGCUGUGUCUCAUCAACCUCCUCUGUGCCUGCUGGAGAAGGAAUGGGAGCCCUGGACCUACAUCUGUGUCUUGCACAACAGGAGAAAUGGAAGGAGA